GAUGAAGAACGUAGCGAAAUGCGAUAAGUAGUGUGAAUUGCAGAAUUCAGUGAAUCAUCGAAUCUUUGAACGCACAUUGCGCCCUUUGGUAUUCCAAAGGGCAUGCCUGUUCGAGCGUCAUUUGUACCCUCAAGCUUUGCUUGGUGUUGGGCGUCUUGUCUCUAGCUUUGCUGGAGACUCGCCUUAAAGUAAUUGGCAGCCGGCCUACUGGUUUCGGAGCGCAGCACAAGUCGCACUCUCUAUCAGCAAAGGUCUAGCAUCCAUUAAGCCUUUUUUUCAACUUUUGACCUCGGAUCAGGUAGGGAUACCCGCUGAACUUAAGCAUAUCAAUAAGCGA
rnacentral:misc_RNA from 1 species